rnacentral:lncRNA from 10 species
GCUCUGGGCUUUAACAGCUUCAUUUGUUUUCCUUCAUCUCCCAGUUGACAACUGUGAAGGAAACACUCAUUGAUCAAGUUCUUUCAGCUUGGAAUGGAGCCUCUGACUCCCAAAAAUCUCUCCCAGGACCAACUGCAGGGGGGUAGUGGAUCUAGGAUUAAGGCUGGAGCCUGAAGCACUGCUGAGAAUGGGGAGUCUGAGAGUUCCUGGAGCGGGCACUCCCCGCCUGGGAGACUCCUACCUUGCAGGAAGGAGUCACAUAUUCCUGAAUUGGACCCCACUCAGAUGCAGAAGGCUAAGAUUUUGGAUGAGAAAAGUGGACCGGCCCCAUACAAUGGUACUUUGUGAGAGAGCUCGCUGCAUGGGCCGGCCGGGCCCCCUGUCCUCCGCCUGCCAACGGGAGGAGACGCGAGGCGCUGGGAGCUCCAGAGUGGGCGAGGACCUCGGGCAGACCCGGCGUUGCUGUUGGACAUCAUUCAGAAGUCCCCGCUCAGCGGGGGCAGCCCAAAGAGCAAAACAAACAGAGCGAGGAGUAGUGGAAAAUGCUGAGUCCUGGAGCUGGCCGGAACAGCGUUCGCCUUUCCACGCCCGGAGCCAGCCGCUCUGCCCACCUGCAGCUGCAAUAGCAAGCAGGGCCGCAGCAGGCAGGGAGGCCUUGGCACCAGAGCCCGUCCAGGGCUGAGGGCGGGGAACAGACACUCCUCUCUCUUCAGACAGGCCCUCCAGAGUCCUCGCCCUGAAGGCUGAGGUCUUUUUCUUGUUCCAGGAGUCCAGUGAAAAAAUAGUUCUCAAAAAAGGGAGAAAAAGACUUUCUUGAACUGUAGUUUCAGAUUUACUAAUAGUGUCCAUUUACAUAGCACUUACGAAAUGUCAAGCCCCAACACAGAUGAAUUGGCAAUCACCGUGUCAGUCCUGCGAGGCUGGUACUGUUAUCCCCAUUUCACAGAUGAAAAAAGCCAGGCACAGAGAAGUCAAAUAACUUACCCAAGAUCACAGUGCUCAACGAUGGCAGGGCCAGGAUUUAAAACCUGGUUUUAGAUUUAAAACCUAGUUUACAGUCUUAAAGGUGACUGCCUUUUCUCUUCAGCUUAUCAAAUUUCCUCUCUAGGAAUACCAGAUGUGAGACACAAAGAGAGGAGACUCAAGAUGGAGAGUAAAGGGAAUGAAUGAGAGAGAGAAGAAUCACCAAGGACUAGAAUAAUACAAAAGAUUUCUUUAAAAAGCAGGAGGCCAUCAGCCCAGGAGAAGGAGUGUGAGACCGAGGUACAGAAGUGGCAGGAAAUGCUGAACUGGGGCUGGAAGGUGUGACAGUACGAGUCAGACAGACACCUGCUCUGUCCCGUGUCCGAA